CUGUUACUUCAGACAAUGGGAGAGCCAGCCCAUCAUCGGAAGUACCCCGGUUGGCAACUUACAAUGAUCCGCUGCUACAUACUUCACUGGUGCUUCCUUCUUCCAACUACAAAAGAUAUGCAGAGCCAUGCAGCUGGAGAUCUUCCAGUAUGAGACCUUCAGGAGGCAUGCUAGGAAUUACCUGGAGCCUGCUAUUAUCCACAAGUGGAAGACUGAUCAGCUGCAUUUUUUCCAGCAACUACAACACCAGGGGGGAAAGGUCACAGUUGGAGGAGAUAUGAGAGCAGACUCUCCAGGGCACUCAGCCAAGUUCGGGAGCUACACACUCAUGCACCUGGGAAGCAACACCAUUGUGGACUUCCAGCUUGUUCAGAGCAAUGAAGUAGGUGGUAGUUACAACAUGGAAAAGGAGGGACUCAAAAGAUCAUCUGGAGUCAAACGAUUUGGCGGUUGAGUACAUUGUGACUGACCGUCAUCCACAGAUCCAGAAGUUUCUGAGGGAACGCAACAUAGAACAAUUCUAUGAUGUGUGGCACUUUGAAAAAGGUUUGUCCAAGAAACUUUUGAAACUUUCACAGAACAAGGACUGCAAGGUGUUGAAGAGGUGGCUGCACAGCAUAAAAAAACCAUGUAUACUGGAGUGCGACGAGCACAACCUCGGGGCCGGAGAAGGUGGCAAGGUGGACGUCAGUGGUCAACCACCUACAAAACAUUCACGUGCAUGACGACCCCCUAUUCCCCAAGUGUUCACAUCCUGAAAGAGCCUCAAGCGAUGCAAAUAAAUGGCUAAAACCUGGUUGUGUCUAGCAGCCAUGCAUCACAAUGAAAAUGCUGACCGUGAGCAAGCCACAACAGCUGCAGGAGAACAUGUGUUCAAAGUGGCCUAUCCAAAAUCAAAGAGAGGAUAAUGUACUGCAAAGCCUGAAAAGAACGACCCUACAUACAUGUACGUGGAUGAGCUGAUGAGGCUUGUGUUUGAGGAAGUCUUUGAGGACCCAACACCCUUUGUGGAUGAGAUGAAUAAAAUCCCCAUCCCAAAGGACCUGUCCACUCAAUUUGACAGGCCCCUCGAUCAGGAAACUCCCUGGCGUAUUCCGGCGGACAACACAUGAUGGGAUGACCACUCUGAUGCCUCGUCCUAAAAAGCCCCAGCACCAGCUUACAAAGCUGCGAUAGGCAAGAUGCCGAAAACGCCUAUAAGGGGAGGA